AAUAUUUCUUGCAAUCUGUAACUGAAUGGCCAGUAAAUCACACAUUCUGUCUUCUACUAAAACUGGAAUGCAAAUAGUCUUAAAGCAAUCACCACGCAUAUUACUACUCUGUGGAUUACAGGUGUCCUUAUCCAUACUUUAUUCCCCUUCUUGACAAAUUUUCCCAUGUGGAGAGAUUACAAAGCAAGAGACUCGUUUACCAUGCACACAACAUUAUUAACAUGCAUUUUGCUUUAAAUCACACUGCACUGUUUUAGAC